GAUGAAUGCUGGCGGCGUGGAUAAGGCAUGCAAGUCAAGGGGGCCGUAAGGCAACCGGCAGACGAGGUAGUAAUAUACAGGUACUCACCGAGAAGUCGGGCAUAGCUAUCCGAAAGGGUAGGUAAUUCCCGAUAGUCCCUCCGGGGUAAAGGAGUAAUCCGCUUCUUGAGAGGCCUGUACAGCAUCAGCUAGUUGGUAAGGUAAAGGCUUACCAAGGCUAUGACGCUUAGGGGAGCUGAGAGGCUGACCCCCACCGAUAGCACUGAGACACGGGCUAUACACCUACGGGUGGCUGCAGUCAAGAAACUUCCACAAUGGACGAAAGUCUGGUGGAGCGACGCCGCGUGGUUGAUGAAGUCCUUCGGGACGUAAAGACCUUUUAUGAGGGAGGAAGUAAUUGACGUUACCUCAUGAAUAAGGGGCUCCUAACUCUGUGCCAGCAGCCGCGGUAAU
rnacentral:rRNA from 1 species